GACGAACGCUGGCGGCGUGCUUAACACAUGCAAGUCGAGCGGUAAGGCCCUUUCGGGGGGUACACGAGCGGCGAACGGGUGAGUAACACGUGGGUGACCUGCCCUCAGCUCUGGGAUAAGCCUGGGAAACCGGGUCUAAUACUGGAUAUGACUCCAUGACGCAUGUUGUGGGGUGGAAAGCCUUGUGCGGCUGAGGAUGGGCCCGCGGCCUAUCAGCUUGUUGGUGGGGUGAUGGCCUACCAAGGCGACGACGGGUAGCCGGCCUGAGAGGGCGACCGGCCACACUGGGACUGAGACACGGCCCAGACUCCUACGGGAGGCAGCAGUGGGGAAUCUUGCGCAAUGGGCGAAAGCCUGACGCAGCGACGCCGCGUGAGGGAUGACGGCCUCGGUUGU
rnacentral:rRNA from 1 species